rnacentral:rRNA from 1 species
UACGAAGGGGGCUAGCGUUGCUCGGAAUCACUGGGCGUAAAGGGUGCGUAGGCGGGUCUUUAAGUCAGGGGUGAAAUCCUGGAGCUCAACUCCAGAACUGCCUUUGAUACUGAGAAGCUUGAGUCCGGGAGAGGUGAGUGGAACUGCGAGUGUAGAGGUGAAAUUCGUAGAUAUUCGCAAGAACACCAGUGGCGAAGGCGGCUACCUGGCCCACUCUUGACGCUGAGGCGCGAAAGCUAGGGGAGCAAACGGG